AGUGAACGCUGGCGGUAGGCCUAACACAUGCAAGUCGAACGGCAGCACAGUAAGAGCUUGCUCUUACGGGUGGCGAGUGGCGGACGGGUGAGGAAUACAUCGGAAUCUACUUUUUCGUGGGGGAUAACGCAGGGAAACUUACGCUAAUACCGCAUACGACCUACGGGUGAAAGCAGGGGAUCUUCGGACCUUGCGCGAUUGAAUGAGCCGAUGUCGGAUUAGCUAGUUGGCGGGGUAAAGGCCCACCAAGGCGACGAUCCGUAGCUGGUCUGAGAGGAUGAUCAGCCACACUGGAACUGAGACACGGUCCAGACUCCUACGGGAGGCAGCAGUGGGGAAUAUUGGACAAUGGGCGCAAGCCUGAUCCAGCCAUACCGCGUGGGUGAAGAAGGCCUUCGGGUUGUAAAGCCCUUUUGUUGGGAAAGAAAAGCAGCAGGUUAAUACCCCGCUGUUAUGACGGUACCCAAAGAAUAAGCACCGGCUAACUUCGUG
rnacentral:rRNA from 1 species